rnacentral:rRNA from 1 species
ACUCCUACGGGAGGCAGCAGUGGGAAUAUUGCACAAUGGGCGAGGGCCUGAUCCAGCCAUGCCGCGUGCAGGAAGAAUGCCCUAUGGGUAGUAAACUGCUUUUAUACGGGAAGAAAAGGGGCACGUGUGCCCUGUUGACGGUACCGUAAGAAUAAGGACCGGCUAACUCCGUGCCAGCAGCCGCGGUAAUACGGAGGGUCCGAGCGUUAUCCGGAAUCAUUGGGUUUAAAGGGUCCGUAGGUGGACGAUUAAGUCAGAGGUGAAAUCUUGCAGCUCAACUGUAAAAUUGCCUUUGAUACUGGUUGUCUUGAGUUAUUAUGAAGUGGUUAGAAUAUGUAGUGUAGCGGUGAAAUGCAUAGAUAUUACAUAGAAUACCAAUUGCGAAGGCAGAUCACUAAUAAUAUACUGACACUGAUGGACGAAAGCGUGGGUAGCGAACAGGAUUAGAUACCCUGGUAGGCUCU